AAACGGAAAGAUCGAAAACACAAAGUAAAGCUGAAAAUGGAAGGAAAUAAAAUACAAGAAAAUUCUAAGGAAGAAGUCGGCAAUUUCGAAAAUCAAAAAGACAAUGUUGGUUGCUAUUGAAAAUUUUGGAACAAAGGAACAACAAAAUGGGCCACAAUAGGAUUUGGAAAUUCCUUUUUAUUGAGGACGAUCAAAAUCUUUUAGCUAUUCGCUCCAAGUUAUAUGCAAUAUCCGUAGUAAUGGGGUAUAAUAUGUUCUAUGCGGCAAUUUAUGUCAUGUGGAUAAUGUUACGUAUACUAUUGUCUACAGCACCGGGAAGAUUAGACAACUACAUUCGUUUUUAAAUAUUAAAUAAUUGUUUAUACUUCUUCUGUUCUUGUGUUAAACUGUUUAUUUCAAAAUUAAUGUUGAUAUUCAUCUCCAUUCUUUAAAACAAAAAAGUUUUAAAUAGAAUUUUGUUGUGUUUUUCAUAAAUGAUAAAAUUUAAAUGAAAAAUGGAGAUAAAUUCUAUUCAAAAUCUUUUUGUUUUAUGGAACGGAGAGGAAUAAAGGUUUCUUGUUAUUUGUUUGUUAUUUUUUAAUUUGUUUGAAAUAAAUGUUGUAUAAAAUCUAA